UCUUUGACCCAUAAUAUUUACAAGUCUAUUUUAUAAAUUAUUUACAAUGUUCGAUCUCAAUGUAUUGAAACUCGUGUUAUUAUUAGGACAAACAAGAAAAGAGAAUAAUGCCGACUAGUUUACCGAAAGACUAUUAUAUGUUUUUCUUAUCUUUGAACGAAGAGUGGGGGGAAAGUUUAAGUAAAACGUUUUAGAUUAUUUUCAAUAACGUUACGAACAGUCAAGGUGAAAGGAUCAACGACACGUCACGAUCUAUCACGACACGACUCGUUUCGUUUAUUCUCCGUUAGUUGAUUUUCUAUCUUUCGCGAUCGUCAGUCUUACGUGGACAACGACGAAGAUGACGAAGAUGACGAAGAUGAAGAAGAAGAGGAAGACGAGGACAACACUCGACCGGCUUUACGUAUUUUCCUUACAGGUGUGUCGAGCACGAGCGUCCUGUCGAGAAACGAAUGCUAUUUAUUGUUUCGAUGAAGAACGCGACUGACGUGUCCUACAAAAUAAUUCUACAUCAGAAGUUUCAACAGUCGAAGUUUUCUAAACCUUACGUAUAUUAUUAGUAAGUCAUUCUUCGACGAGGAAGUAAGGUACAAAAGGAUCAAUUUGAAACAAUAUAAAACGUUUUAUUUUACCACUCAACGUGUUCGACCGGAACAAAGAUGAAACAAGACAUGGAAUGGCAAACGUUGUAAUUGCGAAACGCUUGAUAUACGCAGCCAUUAACGCGAAAGCCGUUCUUAUCGACUUCAAAGUUAUUCCUCUAUUCCUCUCGAUGUGACUACCCGCAUACCAACUGCAUAUUAAAAAAAAAGAAAAAAAAAAUACAAAAAAAAAGAGAGAGAGAGAGGAGAGAGAGAGAGAGAUUUAGGUAUCAACAAUUAUUUAUAGGAUAUAUCAAAAUUAAUUUCAUAUAUAUAUAUAUAAGCAAACGUUUGAUUAGAAACUUCAAAUAAUUACAAUUUAAUUUUAUUUAAUUUUCAGAAUUAUUUUCUUUUUCUAAUCAUUCAGUUGUUCGAUUCGUUCACUUAACGUCAAGUAGAAAUUGUUCUAGUUAUUUUCUUAACGCUCAUUAUGGUUAGACUCGAUCACCAGUGCAAGGUGACUUCCGACGUAUAGUUGUCAUUGUCGUCGUCGUUGACGUAAGUAGUUGGACCCAAGUCCACGUCGUAUAUUUUCUGACCCAGAAAGAGAUUCUCUCUCCCUCUCUCUUUAUAUCUAUACACGUAUAUCUUUGACGUGAAGUCCUAUGAUGUGGAGGGGGCUGCUCGCGACAAGUAAAGCUGAGAAACGAUUCCUUGAGGCGCGCUUAUUGCUUCAGAGACGAUAAAUGAGUCAACGAUUAAGACCAUCGUCAUCGUCAAGUAACCGUCACAUCUUUUUGGAUCUAGAUUACCCAAAAAGAUAUACAUACAUAUAGACAUGGAUCUCACACUUGUAUUAAAGAAAUAUAGGACGUUUUCGUUUAUGUCUUUUUUUAAGUUUGAAAUUUCUCUUUUAUAUAAGAAACAAUGAAAUAUAUCAAGUAGAAAUUAUAAAAUUACACUUUAAGAAUAAAUUCAAUUCUACUUUCUUUUGUAAAUUAUUUUUAAUAUCGUCGUUAAGCGGCCGAUGAUUGCGUAAGUGACAGUGAGUAAUUGUAGAUCAUAUAUAUUUUUUUUUCAUUUUGAGGUAUUACGUACUUUAAUGACGUAAAAUCAAUUUAAGAUAAGAU